rnacentral:rRNA from 1 species
UACGAGAGGCGCAAACGUUAUUCGGAAUUACUGGGCUUAAAGAGUUCGUAGGCGGCGCAGAAAGUAGGGUGUGAAAGCCCUCGGCUCAACCGAGGAAUUGCGCUCUAAACUACUGUGCUUGAGGGACCUAGAGGUGAGCGGAACUGAUGGUGGAGCGGUGAAAUGCGUUGAUAUCAGGAGGAACACCGGUGGCGAAGGCGGGUCUCUGGGCCGAUACUGACGCUGAGGAGCGAAAGCGUAGGGAGCAAACAGG